UGGGGAAUUUUGGACAAUGGGCGAAAGCCUGAUCCAGCAAUGCCGCGUGUGUGAAGAAGGCCUUCGGGUUGUAAAGCACUUUUGUCCGGAAAGAAAUCCUUGGCUCUAAUACAGUCGGGGGAUGACGGUACCGGAAGAAUAAGCACCGGCUAACUACGUGCCAGCAGCCGCGGUAAUACGUAGGGUGCAAGCGUUAAUCGGAAUUACUGGGCGUAAAGCGUGCGCAGGCGGUUUGCUAAGACCGAUGUGAAAUCCCCGGGCUCAACCUGGGAACUGCAUUGGUGACUGGCAGGCUAGAGUAUGGCAGAGGGGGGUAGAAUUCCACGUGUAGCAGUGAAAUGCGUAGAGAUGUGGAGGAAUACCGAUGGCGAAGGCAGCCCCCUGGGCCAAUAGUGACGCUCAUGCACGAAAGCGUGGGGAGCAAACAGGAUUAGAUACCCUGGUAGUCCACGCCCUAAACGAUGUCAACUAGUUGUUGGGGAUUCAUUUCCUAGUAACGUAGCUAACGCGUGAAGUUGACCGCCUGGGGAGUACGGUCGCAAGAUUAAAACUCAAAGGAAUUGACGGGGUCAUAGCUGUUUCCU
rnacentral:rRNA from 1 species